UCUUCCCUCUGGCGGCGUGCCUAAUACAUGCAAGUCGAGCGAACAGGCGAGGAGCUUGCUCCUCUGACGUUAGCGGCGGACGGGUGAGUAACACGUGGAUAACCUACCUAUAAGACUGGGAUAACUUCGGGAAACCGGAGCUAAUACCGGAUAAUAUAUUGAACCGCAUGGUUCAAUAGUGAAAGACGGUUUUGCUGUCACUUAUAGAUGGAUCCGCGCCGCAUUAGCUAGUUGGUAAGGUAACGGCUUACCAAGGCAACGAUGCGUAGCCGACCUGAGAGGGUGAUCGGCCACACUGGAACUGAGACACGGUCCAGACUCCUACGGGAGGCAGCAGUAGGGAAUCUUCCGCAAAGGGCGAAAGCCUGACGGAGCAACGCCGCGUGAGUGAUGAAGGUCUUCGGAUCGUAAAACUCUGUUAUUAGGGAAGAACAAAUGUGUAAGUAACUAUGCACGUCUUGACGGUACCUAAUCAGAAAGCCACGGCUAACUACGUG
rnacentral:rRNA from 1 species